CAGGCCUAACACAUGCAAGUCGAACGGUAGCACAGAGGGGCUUGCUCCUUGGGUGACGAGUGGCGGACGGGUGAGUAAUGUCUGGGAAACUGCCCGAUGGAGGGGGAUAACUACUGGAAACGGUAGCUAAUACCGCAUAACGUCUUCGGACCAAAGUGGGGGACCUUCGGGCCUCACACCAUCGGAUGUGCCCAGAUGGGAUUAGCUAGUAGGUGGGGUGAUGGCUCACCUAGGCGACGAUCCCUAGCGUGUCUGAGAGGAUGACCAGCCACACUGGGACUGAGACACGGUCCAGACUCCUACGGGAGGCAGCAGUGGGGAAUAUUGCACAAUGGGCGCAAGCCUGAUGCAGCCAUGCCGCGUGUAUGAAGAAGGCCUUCGGGUUGUAAAGUACUUUCAGCGGGGAGGAAGGCGAUGGAGUUAAUAGCUUCAUCGAUUGACGUUACCCGCAGAAGAAGCACCGGCUAACUCCGUGCCAGCAGCCGCGGUAAU
rnacentral:rRNA from 1 species